rnacentral:rRNA from 1 species
UGGGGAAUAUUGCACAAUGGGGAAACCCUGAUGCAGCGACGCCGCGUGAGCGAAGAAGUAUUUCGGUAUGUAAAGCUCUAUCAGCAGGGAAGAAAGUGACGGUACCUGACUAAGAAGCACCGGCUAAAUACGUGCCAGCAGCCGCGGUAAUACGUAUGGUGCAAGCGUUAUCCGGAUUUACUGGGUGUAAAGGGAGCGUAGACGGAUAGGCAAGUCUGGAGUGAAAACCCGGGGCUCAACCCCGGGCACUGCUUUGGAAAACUGUUUAUCUAGAGUGCUGGAGAGGUAAGUGGAAUUCCUAGUGUAGCGGUGAAAUGCGUAGAUAUUAGGAGGAACACCAGUGGCGAAGGCGGCUUACUGGACAGUAACUGACGUUGAGGCUCGAAAAGCGUGGGUAUCGAACAGGAAUAGAUACC